rnacentral:misc_RNA from 1 species
UUUCCGUAGGUGAACCUGCGGAAGGAUCAUUCAUAAUAAGUGUUUUAUGGCACUUUUUUAAAUCCAUAUUCACCUUGUGUGCAAUGUCAGGGUUGAUUUUUCUCUCGAGAGGAUCAACCCCAAACAUCAACUAUAUCUCAACUCUUUGUCUGAAAAAUAUUAUGAAUAAAACAAUUCAAAAUACAACUUUCAACAACGGAUCUCUUGGCUCUC